GACGAACGCUGGCGGCGCGCCUAACACAUGCAAGUCGAACGAGAGAUGAGGAGCUUGCUCUUCAAAUCGAGUGGCGAACGGGUGAGUAACGCGUGAGGAACCUGCCUCAAAGAGGGGGACAACAGUUGGAAGCGACUGCUAAUACCGCAUAAGCCCACGGCUCGGCAUCGAGCAGAGGGAAAAGGAGCAAUCCGCUUUGAGAUGGCCUCGCGUCCGAUUAGCUAGUUGGUGAGGUAACGGCCCACCAAGGCGACGAUCGGUAGCCGGACUGAGAGGUUGAACGGCCACAUUGGGACUGAGACACGGCCCAGACUCCUACGGGAGGCAGCAGUGGGGAAUAUUGCACAAUGGGGGAAACCCUGAUGCAGCGACGCCGCGUGGAGGAAGAAGGUCUUCGGAUUGUAAACUCCUGUUGUUGAGGAAGAUAAUGACGGUACUCAACAAGGAAGUGACGGCUAACUACGUGCCAGCAGCCGCGGUAAAACGUAGGUCACAAGCGUUGUCCGGAAUUACUGGGUGUAAAGGGAGCGCAGGCGGGAGAACAAGUUGGAAGUGAAAUCCAUGGGCUCAACCCAUGAACUGCUUUCAAAACUGUUUUUCUUGAGUAGUGCAGAGGUAGGCGGAAUUCCCGGUGUAGCGGUGGAAUGCGUAGAUAUCGGGAGGAACACCAGUGGCGAAGGCGGCCUACUGGGCACCAACUGACGCUGAGGCUCGAAAGUGUGGGUAGCAAACAGGAUUAGAUACCCUGGUAGUCCACACCGUAAACGAUGAUUACUAGGUGUUGGAGGAUUGACCCCUUCAGUGCCGCAGUUAACACAAUAAGUAAUCCACCUGGGGAGUACGACCGCAAGGUUGAAACUCAAAGGAAUUGACGGGGGCCCGCACAAGCAGUGGAGUAUGUGGUUUAAUUCGACGCAACGCGAAGAACCUUACCAAGUCUUGACAUCCCUUGACGAACAUAGAAAUAUGUUUUCUCUUCGGAGCAAGGAGACAGGUGGUGCAUGGUUGUCGUCAGCUCGUGUCGUGAGAUGUUGGGUUAAGUCCCGCAACGAGCGCAACCCUUAUGGUCAGUUACUACGCAAGAGGACUCUGGCCAGACUGCCGUUGACAAAACGGAGGAAGGUGGGGAUGACGUCAAAUCAUCAUGCCCUUUAUGACUUGGGCUACACACGUACUACAAUGGCGUUAAACAAAGAGAAGCAAGACCGCGAGGUGGAGCAAAACUCAGAAACAACGUCCCAGUUCGGACUGCAGGCUGCAACUCGCCUGCACGAAGUCGGAAUUGCUAGUAAUCGUGGAUCAGCAUGCCACGGUGAAUACGUUCCCGGGCCU
rnacentral:rRNA from 1 species